rnacentral:rRNA from 1 species
UACGUAUGGGGCAAGCGUUAUCCGGAAUUACUGGGUGUAAAGGGAGCGUAGGCGGUACGGCAAGUCAGAAGUGAAAGCCUGGGGCUCAACCCCGGAAUUGCUUUUGAAACUGUCGGACUAGAGUGUCGGAGGGGUAAGCGGAAUUCCUAGUGUAGCGGUGAAAUGCGUAGAUAUUAGGAAGAACACCAGCGGCGAAGGCGAUUCACUGGACUGUAACUGACACUGAGGCACGAAAGCGUGGGGAGCAAACAGG